CCUAAGCCCCCCCAAUCGGCCAUUGCAAUUAUAAUAACGGCGGAGUUUCUCCAGAGGACAACACGGAGAGAAAGGCUGGAGGAAUUUUCGGUGAGCAGAGGGAAUUCCGCACAGCAACAGAAGGAACAGCAGCACAGCAACACGUUUGGAUUGGAGAGUUUUUCUAUUCUUUUUAAUUUCUGCACAGCAACACCGUGACUUUUAUGUGCCAAGAGAAAAGGGGUUGCAAGCUUGAAGCCUUGGAAGAUCUAGAUGUUUUCAUGGAUUUUUGUUAGAUUAUGGUUUGUUGAAGCCUAAAGCAUGUAUUGUAAAUUUUAAAAAUGUUGUAAAUAUAUGGUGUUGUUGCCAUGUGUAUUGGGUUA